rnacentral:rRNA from 1 species
UACGUAGGUGGCAAGCGUUGUCCGGAUUUAUUGGGUUUAAAGGGUGCGUAGGCGGCUUUGUAAGUCAGUGGUGAAAUAUGGCAGCUCAACUGUCAAGGUGCCAUUGAUACUGCAGAGCUUGAGUACAGAUGAGGUAGGCGGAAUUGACGGUGUAGCGGUGAAAUGCUUAGAUAUCGUCAAGAACACCGAUAGCGAAGGCAGCUUACUAGGCUGUAACUGACGCUGAGGCACGAAAGUGUGGGGAUCAAACAGG